rnacentral:rRNA from 1 species
CUACGGGCCGCUGCAGUGGGGAAUAUUGCACAAUGGGCGCAAGCCUGAUGCAGCCAUGCCGCGUGUAUGAAGAAGGCCUUCGGGUUGUAAAGUACUUUCAGCGGGGAGGAAGGGAGUAAAGUUAAUACCUUUGCUCAUUGACGUUACCCGCAGAAGAAGCACCGGCUAACUCCGUGCCAGCAGCCGCGGUAAUACGGAGGGUGCAAGCGUUAAUCGGAAUUACUGGGCGUAAAGCGCACGCAGGCGGUUUGUUAAGUCAGAUGUGAAAUCCCCGGGCUCAACCUGGGAACUGCAUCUGAUACUGGCAAGCUUGAGUCUCGUAGAGGGGGGUAGAAUUCCAGGUGUAGCGGUGAAAUGCGUAGAGAUCUGGAGGAAUACCGGUGGCGAAGGCGGCCCCCUGGACGAAGACUGACGCUCAGGUGCGAAAGCGUGGGGAGCAAACAGGAUUAGAUACCCCAGUAGUC